UUAUUAUGUUUCUGUAGCUAGUCGAAAUUUAAUUUCUAUGUCUGUGCUAGCACGGGAAGGUUUUGAAAUUUAUUUUAAUAAAGAUAUUUAUUUUAUUUAUUUAUGAAAUAAAUUGGUUGCAUGAGAUCUUUUAACUGAUAGUCUUUAUCACUUGCAUGUUGAUGGAAUGUGAACCUAAACAAGCAAAUAGCGAGUGCCAUAGGUCAAAAGAGAUCUAGAGAUGAGAUUAAACAAAAGCCAUUGUGAUACCAUAGACUAGGCC
rnacentral:lncRNA from 1 species